rnacentral:tRNA from 1 species
GAGGGUGUAGCUCAGUGGUAGAGCCCAUGCCUAGCAUGCACAAAGUCCGGGGUUCAACUCCCUGUACCUCCA